AUUGAACGCUGGCGGCAUGCCUUACACAUGCAAGUCGAACGGUAACAGGUUAAGCUGACGAGUGGCGAACGGGUGAGUAAUGUAUCGGAACGUGCCCAGUCGUGGGGGAUAACUGCUCGAAAGAGCAGCUAAUACCGCAUACGACCUGAGGGUGAAAGCGGGGGAUCGCAAGACCUCGCGCGAUUGGAGCGGCCGAUUUCAGAUUAGGUAGUUGGUGGGGUAAGGGCCUACCAAGCCUACGAUCUGUAGCUGGUCUGAGAGGACGACCAGCCACACUGGGACUGAGACACGGCCCAGACUCCUACGGGAGGCAGCAGUGGGGAAUUUUGAACAAUGGACGCAAGUCUGAUCCAGCCAUGCCGCGUGCGGGAAGAAGGCCUUCGGGUUGUAAACCGCUUUUGUCAGGGAAGAAAAGGUUCUGGCUAAUACCUGGGACUCAUGACGGUACCUGAAGAAUAAGCACCGGCUAACUACGUGCCAGCCGCCGCCGUAAUAC
rnacentral:rRNA from 1 species